CUGAACCCUGAUUUGGUUGCAAUGACCGAUAUCAUUUUCGUUCUUUCUUGGGUUUUAUCAACAUUUCCCUUUUUCUUUUUAGGAAUAAAUAAAGUUCGGUGGCAACUUUGUUUAGUCCAUCAUUGCAAGCGCGCAAUUCUGCUUCGCUAGGUCGUGUUAUCAUUUUUUCCAGGUGCGACAAACACCUAUUGAGCACAUAUUCUAUAGUGGCAACAAAU
rnacentral:lncRNA from 1 species